AUAUCGACGAGUUUGAUCCUGGCUCAGAACGAACGCUGGCGGCAGGCCUAACACAUGCAAGUCGAACGAUAUAGUGGCAGACGGGUGAGUAACGCGUGGGAACGUACCUUUCGCUAUGGAAUAGCUCUGGGAAACUGGUGGUAAUACCGUAUACGCCCUUAGGGGGAAAGAUUUAUCGGCGAAAGAUCGGCCCGCGUUAGAUUAGGUAGUUGGUGGGGUAAUGGCCUACCAAGCCUACGAUCUAUAGCUGGUCUGAGAGGAUGAUCAGCCACACUGGGACUGAGACACGGCCCAGACUCCUACGGGAGGCAGCAGUGGGGAAUCUUGCACAAUGGGCGAAAGCCUGAUGCAGCCAUGCCGCGUGAAUGAUGAAGGCCUUAGGGUUGUAAAAUUCUUUCGCUAGGGAUGAUAAUGACAGUACCUAGUAAAGAAGCCCCGGCUAACUUCGUG
rnacentral:rRNA from 1 species